GAUGAACGCUAGCGGGAGGCCUAACACAUGCAAGCCGAGCGGUAUUGUUUCUUCGGAAAUGAGAGAGCGGCGUACGGGUGCGGAACACGUGUGCAACCUGCCUUUAUCUGGGGGAUAGCCUUUCGAAAGGAAGAUUAAUACUCCAUAAUAUAUUGAACGGCAUCGUUUAAUAUUGAAAGCUCCGGCGGAUAGAGAUGGGCACGCGCAAGAUUAGCUAGUUGGUGAGGUAACGGCUCACCAAGGCGAUGAUCUUUAGGGGGCCUGAGAGGGUGAUCCCCCACACUGGUACUGAGACACGGACCAGACUCCUACGGGAGGCAGCAGUGAGGAAUAUUGGUCAAUGGGUGCAAGCCUGAACCAGCCAUCCCGCGUGAAGGACGACUGCCCUAUGGGUUGUAAACUUCUUUUGUAUAGGGAUAAACCUACCCUCGUGAGGGUAGCUGAAGGUACUAUACGAAUAAGCACCGGCUAACUCCGUGCCAGCAGCCGCGGUAAUACGGAGGGUGCAAGCGUUAUCCGGAUUUAUUGGGUUUAAAGGGUCCGUAGGCGGACUUAUAAGUCAGUGGUGAAAGCCUGUCGCUUAACGAUAGAACUGCCAUUGAUACUGUAAGUCCUGAGUAUAUUUGAGGUAGCUGGAAUAAGUAGUGUAGCGGUGAAAUGCAUAGAUAUUACUUAGAACACCAAUUGCGAAGGCAGGUUACCAAGAUAUAACUGACGCUGAGGGACGAAAGCGUGGGGAGCGAACAGGAUUAGAUACCCUGGUAGUCCACGCCGUAAACGAUGCUAACUCGUUUUUGGGCUUUAGGGUUCAGAGACCAAGCGAAAGUGAUAAGUUAGCCACCUGGGGAGUACGCUCGCAAGAGUGAAGCUCAAAGGAAUUGACGGGGGCCCGCACAAGCGGUGGAUUAUGUGGUUUAAUUCGAUGAUACGCGAGGAACCUUACCAAGACUUAAAUGGGAAUUGACAGCUUUAGAAAUAGAGCUUUCUUCGGACAAUUUUCAAGGUGCUGCAUGGUUGUCGUCAGCUCGUGCCGUGAGGUGUUAGGUUAAGUCCUGCAACGAGCGCAACCCCUGUCACUAGUUGCCAUCAUUCAGUUGGGGACUCUAGUGAGACUGCCUACGCAAGUAGAGAGGAAGGUGGGGAUGACGUCAAAUCAUCACGGCCCUUACGUCUUGGGCCACACACGUAAUACAAUGGCCGGUACAGAGGGCAGCUACACAGCGAUGUGAUGCAAAUCUCGAAAGCCGGUCUCAGUUCGGAUUGGAGUCUGCAACUCGACUCUAUGAAGCUGGAAUCGCUAGUAAUCGCGCAUCAGCCAUGGCGCGGUGAAUACGUUCCCGGGCCU
rnacentral:rRNA from 1 species